CGACUGCGCCGACAAGACCCAGAAGAAGGGCGACGGCUUCGGCAUCGUCAUGGUUGACACCGAGAAGAGCCACUUCGAGGUGCAGGAGGCCGCGGAGAACGACGGCAAGUGCAAGUGCGGCACCAGCUGCACCUGCACCAACUGCACCUGCGGCCACUGAAGCCCGCCCCGCCGGGCCUCUCGAUCAUCACGUACGCCUCUACCGUACUAGUAACCCGUGUCAAUAAAAGUCGAUCUGUACGUGUGUGUCUA